CCUACGGGAGGCAGCAGUGGGGAAUAUUGCACAAUGGGCGAAAGCCUGAUGCAGCGACGCCGCGUGAGGGACGACGGCCUUCGGGUUGUAAACCUCUUUCAGCAGGGACGAAGCGCAAGUGACGGUACCUGCAGAAGAAGCACCGGCUAACUACGUGCCAGCAGCCGCGGUAAUACGUAGGGUGCAAGCGUUGUCCGGAAUUACUGGGCGUAAAGAGUUCGUAGGCGGUUUGUCACGUCGUUUGUGAAAACUCACAGCUCAACUGUGAGCCUGCAGGCGAUACGGGCAGACUUGAGUACUGCAGGGGAGACUGGAAUUCCUGGUGUAGCGGUGAAAUGCGCAGAUAUCAGGAGGAACACCGGUGGCGAAGGCGGGUCUCUGGGCAGUAACUGACGCUGAGGAACGAAAGCGUGGGUAGCAAACAGGAUUAGAUACCCUGGUAGUCCACGCCGUAAACGGUGGGCGCUAGGUGUGGGUUCCUUCCACGGAAUCCGUGCCGUAGCUAACGCAUUAAGCGCCCGCUGGGGNGACGCGCAGACAACUACGAAGAGNGCGNGNGAGAGCGACGACGACGACGACGAGGAG
rnacentral:rRNA from 1 species